AUUAUUUAUUCGUUUUUACAACAGCGAAUAACACUACUAAAAUAUUCCACAAAAUAAGUGAUAUAUUAGUGUAACUCAUAAUCCAUUUUCAUUAUUGAGGGCAUUUAUGAAAUGCUUUGCGCGAUGCAAUUCAUACGAAUGAUUGGCCCAUGUUGAAAAUAAAAAUCAAUUACCAAGUUAUGCAUGUUAAAAUAUUGAUUAUUUUUAAAAGGGUCUCAUAAUCGACGCGUUUGGCGUUCAAACAUUGGAAAAACAUUUGAAACGAAAUCUUUCCUUUUCCGAUUGUAAACUACCAAAACAUUAUUUGAAAGCGAUGUUUCAACUAUAUUAUGCCAUUGUCUUGGAAAUCUUCCUCGCUACCACAGAAACUGUUGCUGCCGACCUCUUUAUAUAAAAAGGAACGCGAAGAUGAAGACGCUUCUAUUUCUUUUCUUUCUGUUCCUGGCAACUUUCCGAUCUGCUACUGCUAGAUGCUCGAGUUAUAAGUGCAAGAGGGGAAAGU